UACGUAGGGUGCAAGCGUUAAUCGGAAUUACUGGGCGUAAAGCGUGCGCAGGCGGUUUUGUAAGUCUGUCGUGAAAGCCCCGGGCUCAACCUGGGAAUUGCGAUGGAGACUGCAAGGCUUGAAUCUGGCAGAGGGGGGUAGAAUUCCACGUGUAGCAGUGAAAUGCGUAGAGAUGUGGAGGAACACCGAUGGCGAAGGCAGCCCCCUGGGUCAAGAUUGCGCUCAUGCACGAAAGCGUGGGGAGCAAACAGG
rnacentral:rRNA from 1 species